UCACGUUCGGUAGAUGUAACUAGAUUUGGUAACUUUUUUUUUUAAGCUGUGUAACUGCGGACAUAAUUGUUCUAGUGUAUAAUGUAUUACUGGAAUGUCAGAAAGUAGGUAUCAAAAAUGUGACAUGUAAGUAAGUAAAGGUCAAAUAUCGAAAAUGUGAUGGUUUUGUGGUAAUCUGGUGAAUCUAUUUUUAAACCAAGGAGAAAAUCGCAUCCCUCUAAAAGCCCAAAGAGCAACCCGCAUGUAAAAUUUUGAAUCUUUUCCCUUCACUAGUUUUUUUAGGAGGACAAGCUUUGAUGUCCUCAUCAUGGAUCCAUAAUUUCACCAUGGAUCCGCUCUGGUAUAUCCAUGUCUCAUCCAAGAAAAUGAAAAGUAAAUCUUCACCACAAUCACGCAAUUGGAGAUAGGUACCGCCUUAGAAAUUUGAUUCUGGCAGCUAUAACGUGUUUAAAAUGUGAAAAACUUCGCCUUCGGAAACCUAAAUUUAUAUGUGUAUUACGUACAAUUAUUUUCAAAGCCGAGUGUUUUACCUCUUACAAAACAAUAACGAUUAUAUAAAACUUAAAAACCAAUUGUAGAAAGGAACCAACAAAGCAUGUAGGUAUAUAAAUCUGCGCAGUCGUCUUUCUGAUUCUGAUUAUAAUAUUAACGGCACAAGCGCCGCUGUAUCUGUAUUAUUUUAAAAUUCGAAAAACACUCGACAACACUAGCGAACUUUACGGAGAAUAUUUCUGCCACCAGUUUAACUGUUUCCGUUUUACCCAAUUUUUUGAAAACCACGAAAUAUUUCUUGUUUCUUUUCCUUUAAAAUGGGCUUUCUCGUGAUUACUUUUAUGGAAAUUGUUUCCAUGCUGUAUUUAAGGAUUUUCUUGAAGCGAAGCGUGUUGAAAUUAGAAAAACUUCGGUUUUUUCCACACAAUUCAGAUUUGACAUUUGAAUUAGAAAAUUAGACAGUUGAUGCCAAUCUUAAAUUUCUAGUGAUCUUAAGAUUGCAACUUAACCACAGAAAAGUUUCUGUCAGUUACUUCUACCGAACGUGAAUGCUUAUUAUAUGUGUGACGCACGCACAGGUGUGACGCGCUGCGGCACAUGAGCAAUAACGGUAAUAAAUUUGCGCGAUUUUGAAUUUGAAAAAUUUAAGUGUGUGAGUGCGAAUACGUGUCGAACACCAACAAGAAGUAAAUACCUACCGAAAAUUAUUUGAAGGAACGCCAUGACGAGAAGAUAUUGUAUUAUUUGUGGCAACAACACAGAAAAUGCGAAGGCACUGCAUUGUUUUCCUCGAUCGCUUGGUAGAUUACGUGAAUGGGGAGAAGCACGAAAAAUUGAGAAUAUAGAAAAAAAGUGAAAGCACACUGGAGAAUUUGCAGUGAAUACUUUUCCGCAAAUUUUUACGCUAACAAUUGGUCAGCAACUUUAAAUCGAAAUGCAGUACCUUCGCAAUACAUCCAAACUUCCGAGACUGAGGUACUAAUUAUUAAAGAAAAGGAAAUAACUAUUAUCAUUGAAGAGAAUGUGCUGCAGCCACCAACUGUGACACCCCCAGUUCCUCCGGUCGAACCGUUAAUGGUUACAGAUGAAGACAUACAUUUUUCAACACCAAUUAAAGUUCCCUCCACUCAUCCUGUUCCAUCGACAUCAAAAGGAAGUGCUUCUCUGAUGUAUGAUACUUCUAUGCUCACUUCUUUGCAUGAAACGCCUACUUCUUCUUGUUCUUCUAUUAAUUUUCGUCAAAAUGCGACUAUUUUGUCUACUAACGAGUCCAAAGCACCAUCGAUUAGUAGAUCUUUGUUUAAGAAAUGUAAUCUCAAUUUCUCGUGGAAAAGGUGUACUCCACGCGAAAAGAAAUUGAGAUCCAUACUUAAACAAAGAUUUUGAUUUCUAGUUUCUGUUUUAUUAUUAAAUAAAAAUUAUUGUGAUAUCCUCGCAGUUUCAAUAAUUUUUAUUUAAUAUAAAGCAAGAGAAUUAGAAGAUUCCUUAUUUAUAAUAAUUUGUAUGUCAUCUCAUUUUAAUCAUAUUGUUAAGCUAUUGUAUAAUAAUUAUAUCAACAAUACCACUGC